AAAACUUCAUCCUGUUUUUAUAUGCCGUUUUAAUUAUAAUUUUAGCAUGGUUUAAAACUAGUUUGCUCAUGCUGAACUGGUAUAGUUAAAAUAUUAUUGAAGAAAGUGAAAAUGGAAUAAGUGGGAGCAAGUAUUCUGUUUGAUAAACAAAGAUUAGCUCCUCUGCAACUUACAAAUGCAAGCAUUACUUUCUUUCUUCUUUAUUUUGUGCUUUUCCCCCUUCUCUUCACAUUAGCUUAAGGUUUGGAUAAGAUACAUCUUUUAUGUA
rnacentral:misc_RNA from 1 species